GACGAACGCUGGCGGCGUGCCUAAUACAUGCAAGUAGAACGCAGUUGCGAACGGGUGAGUAACGCGUAGGUAACUGCAUGGUAGCGGGGGAUAACUAUUGGAAACGAUAGCUAAUACCGCAUACUACCAGAUGGACCUGCGUUGUAUUAGCUAGUUGGUGAGGUAACGGCUCACCAAGGCAACGAUACAUAGCCGACCCGAGAGGGGGAGUGGACAACCUGGGAAUGAGAAACGGGCCAGACCCCUACGGGAGGCAGCAGUAGGGAAUUUUCGGAAAUGGGGGGAACCCGGAACGAGCAACGCCGCGUGAGUGAAGAAGGUUUUCGGAUCGUAAAGCUCUGUUGUUAAGGAAGCGGUACUUAACCAGAAAGGGACGGCUAACUACGUGCCAGCAGCCGCGGUAAUUC
rnacentral:rRNA from 1 species